rnacentral:rRNA from 1 species
ACGAACGCUGGCGGCGUGCUUAACACAUGCAAGUCGAGCGGUAAGGCUCCUUCGGGGGUACACGAGCGGCGAACGGGUGAGUAACACGUGAGUAAUCUGCCCUUGGCUCUGGGAUAAGCACUCGAAAGGGUGUCUAAUACCGGAUAUGACAGACCUCCGCAUGGGGUGUUUGUGGAAAGUUUUUUCGGCUGGGGAUGUGCUCGCGGCCUAUCAGCUUGUUGGUGGGGUAAUGGCCUACCAAGGCUUUGACGGGUAGCCGGCCUGAGAGGGUGACCGGUCACACUGGGACUGAGACACGGCCCAGACUCCUACGGGAGGCAGCAGUGGGGAAUAUUGGACAAUGGGCGGAAGCCUGAUCCAGCAACGCCGCGUGAGGGAUGACGGCCUUCGGGUUGUAAACCUCUUUCAGUACCGACGAAGCUGCUCUUUGGGUGGUGACGGUAGGUACAGAAGAAGCACCGGCCAACUACGU